UGAGUCUGUGUGAGAUACCUGAAGCAGUGCCUAAUGUCACUGCCAGGUAACAUGCAGUCCGACACAGGUCUGCGUCUGUGGGAGAUAUCUGAAGUAGUGCCAGGUGUCACUGCCACGUAACAUACAGCCUGACACAGGUUUGUGUCUGUGGGAGAUAUCUUAAGUAGUGCCAAAUGUCACUGCAAGGUAACAUGCAGUCUGCCACAGGUUUGCGUCUGUGGGAGAUACCUGAAGUAGUACCAGGUGUCACUGCUAGGUAGCAUGCAGUCUGACACAGGUUUGUGUCUGUGGGAGAUACCUGAAGUAGUGCCAG
rnacentral:lncRNA from 1 species